rnacentral:rRNA from 1 species
UGGGGAAUAUUGCACAAUGGGCGAAAGCCUGAUGCAGCAACGCCGCGUGAGUGAUGAAGGCCUUCGGGUUGUAAAGCUCUGUCUUUUGGGACGAUAAUGACGGUACCAAAGGAGGAAGCCACGGCUAACUACGUGCCAGCAGCCGCGGUAAUACGUAGGUGGCAAGCGUUGUCCGGAUUUACUGGGCGUAAAGGAUGCGUAGGCGGAUUUUUAAGUGAGAUGUGAAAUACCCGGGCUUAACUCGGGUGCUGCAUUUCAAACUGGGAAUCUAGAGUGCGGGAGAGGAGAAUGGAAUUCCUAGUGUAGCGGUGAAAUGCGUAGAGAUUAGGAAGAACACCAGUGGCGAAGGCGAUUCUCUGGACCGUAACUGACGCUGAGGCAUGAAAGCGUGGGUAGCAAACAGGAUUAGAUACCCUGGUAGUCCACGCCGUAAACGAUGAGUACUAGGUGUAGGAGGUAUCGACCCCUUCUGUGCCGCAGUUAACACAAUAAGUACUCCGCCUGGGAAGUACGAUCGCAAGAUUAAAACUCAAAGGAAUUGACGGGGUC